UAUCUGUGAUGAAGAUAAAAUGACAAGCAUAUGCCUGAAUAUAACAAGUGAUGUCAUCUUUCUGCUGAGAAG